GAUGAAGAACGUAGCGAAAUGCGAUAAUUAAUGUGAAUUGCAGAAUUUAGUGAAUCAUCGAAUCUUUGAACGCACAUUGCGCCCCUUGGUAUUCCGGGGGGCAUGCCUGUUCGAGCGUCAUUUCAACCCUCAAGCUCUGCUUGGUCUUGGGCCGCGCCGGCAACGGCGGGCCUCAAAAACAGUGGCGGCGCCAUCUGGUCCCUCAGCGUAGUAAUUCUUCUCGCUGCUGGGCCCCGGUGGUCGCUCGCCAGCAACCCCAAACUUUCUAUGGUUGACCUCGGAUCAGGUAGGGAUACCCGCUGAACUUAAGCAUAUCAAUAAGCGGAGGA
rnacentral:misc_RNA from 1 species